UACACUCCUACGGGAGGCAGCAGUGGGGAAUUUUGGACAAUGGGCGAAAUCCUGAUCCAGCAAUGCCGCGUGAGUGAAGAAGGCCUUCGGGUUGUAAAGCUCUUUUGUCAGGGAAGAAACGGUGAAAGCUAAUAUCUUUUGCUAAUGACGGUACCUGAAGAAUAAGCACCGGCUAACUACGUGCCAGCAGCCGCGGUAAUACGUAGGGUGCAAGCGUUAAUCGGAAUUACUGGGCGUAAAGCGUGCGCAGGCGGUUUUGUAAGUCUGAUGUGCAAUCCCCGGGCUCAACCUGGGAAUUGCAUUGGAGACGGCAAGGCUAGAAUCUGGCAGAGGGGGGUAGAAUUCCACGUGUAGCAGUGAAAUGCGUAGAUAUGUGGAGGAACACCGAUGGCGAAGGCAGCCCCCUGGGUCAAGAUUGACGCUCAUGCACGAAAGCGUGGGGAGCAAACAGGAUUAGAAACCCGUGUAGUCCCAUG
rnacentral:rRNA from 1 species